rnacentral:misc_RNA from 1 species
GUGAGUCAUCGAAUCUUUGAACGCACAUUGCGCCCGCCAGUAUUCUGGCGGGCAUGCCUGUUCGAGCGUCAUUUCAACCAUCAAGCCCCGGGCUUGUGUUGGGGACCUGCGGCUGCCGCAGGCCCUGAAAACCAGUGGCGGGCUCGCUAGUCACUCCGAGCGUAGUAGUUACAUCUCGCUCAGGGCGUGCUGCGGGUUCCGGCCGUUAAACCCCCCAUUUUACAAGGUUGACCUCGGAUCAGGUAGGAAGACCCGCUGAACUUAAGCAUAUCAAUAAGCGGAGGA